AUUGAACGCUGGCGGCAGGCUUAACACAUGCAAGUCGAGCGGGGUGAGGUGCUUCGGUACUGAUCCUAGCGGCGGACGGGUGAGUAAUGCUUAGGAAUCUGCCUAUUAGUGGGGGACAACAUUCCGAAAGGAAUGCUAAUACCGCAUACGUCCUACGGGAGAAAGCAGGGGAUCUUCGGACCUUGCGCUAAUAGAUGAGCCUAAGUCGGAUUAGCUAGUUGGUGGGGUAAAGGCCUACCAAGGCGACGAUCUGUAGCGGGUCUGAGAGGAUGCUCCCCCACACGGGGACGGAGACACGGCCCAGACUCCUACGGGAGGCAGCAGUGGGGAAUAUUGGACAAUGGGCGGAAGCCUGAUCCAGCCAUGCCGCGUGUGUGAAGAAGGCCUUUUGGUUGUAAAGCACUUUAAGCGAGGAGGAGGCUACCUAGAUUAAUACUCUGGGAUAGUGGACGUUACUCGCAGAAUAAGCACCGGCUAACUCUGUGCCAGCCGCCGCAGUAAAAC
rnacentral:rRNA from 1 species